UUGAGAUACUCAUAAUUCCUUACUGCAUCACUCGCAUUUCGAUAUUCUAACAUUCCCAAGGGUCCAGAAAGGUUCAUUGCCCAUUCCAGAGGCUCACUUACUAAACUUGCCAUCAACAUGAUAAUUGGCCAGCACUUCCAGGGAAAAUAUCCAUUGCCCUUCGCCCUUCAGCUGUCACAACACACAAACACUCACCCACACACAAACACUCACCCACACACAAACACUCACCCACACACACACACUUCACACCUCAGAGACUCGCUGAAUGGGAAUCCCCUGAAUGCUCGCUAAACAAAAGAAAUGAAGUCAUUUGUAAUUAAUGAGGUUUGUCACCCCAAUUUUCCGCAACUUCCAGCGGGACAAAAAAAAAAAGGAAACAUCAGACUACAAAAGUGGGUGGUGGGAUAAAGUUCACCUGCCUGCCUGGCAUAUUGAAAAUCACAGUCGCACACCAAAAUUGGCAGCAUAUCCACCCCUGAAAAAGGAAACCUCAUCUUCACUCCCCCAGGUGGUUUUGGUCGGUGCGUGUCCUUGGGUGGUGGUCACCCCCGCCCAGCCACUUCUCACCGAUGUCACCUUGACAGACAGACAGACAUACGCAUACUUGACCCUGACAGACAGGCUGACUUUUGGGGUGACAGUUUCCGUUCGCUUGUUUAAUUAAAAUUAUGUAAAUAAAUUUAUUUAGCUGA